CAGUAGCCGCGGUAAUACGAAGGGUGCAAGCGUUAAUCGGAAUUACUGGGCGUAAAGCGUGCGUAGGCGGUGAGUUAAGUCUGCUGUGAAAUCCCCGGGCUCAACCUGGGAAUGGCAGUGGAUACUGGCUCGCUAGAGUGUGUCAGAGGAUGGUGGAAUUCCCGGUGUAGCGAUGAAAUGCGUAGAGAUCGGGAGGAACAUCAGUGGCGAAGGCGGGUCUCUGGGUAGUAACUGACGCUGAGGAGCGAAAGCGUGGGUAGCGAACAGGAUUAGAUACCCCCGUAGUCCCUGUCUCUUAUAA
rnacentral:rRNA from 1 species